UACGGGAGGCAGCAGUAGGGAAUCUUCCGCAAUGGGCGAAAGCCUGACGGAGCAACGCCGCGUGAGUGAUGAAGGUCUUCGGAUCGUAAAACUCUGUUAUUAGGGAAGAACAAAUGUGUAAGUAACUAUGCACGUCUUGACGGUACCUAAUCAGAAAGCCACGGCUAACUACGUGCCAGCAGCCGCGGUAAUACGUAGGUGGCAAGCGUUAUCCGGAAUUAUUGGGCGUAAAGCGCGCGUAGGCGGUUUUUUAAGUCUGAUGUGAAAGCCCACGGCUCAACCGUGGAGGGUCAUUGGAAACUGGAAAACUUGAGUGCAGAAGAGGAAAGUGGAAUUCCAUGUGUAGCGGUGAAAUGCGCAGAGAUAUGGAGGAACACCAGUGGCGAAGGCGACUUUCUGGUCUGUAACUGACGCUGAUGUGCGAAAGCGUGGGGAUCAAACAGGAUUAGAUACCCUGGUAGUCCACGCCGUAAACGAUGAGUGCUAAGUGUUAGGGGGUUUCCGCCCCUUAGUGCUGCAGCUAACGCAUUAAGCACUCCGCCUGGGGAGUACGACCGCAAGGUUGAAACUCAAAGGAAUUUGACGG
rnacentral:rRNA from 1 species